rnacentral:tRNA from 2 species
GGGGGCGUAGCUCAGUUGGGAGAGCGUCGCGUUCGCAAUGCGAAGGUCAGGGGUUCAAGUCCCCUCGUCUCCA